rnacentral:rRNA from 1 species
CCUAGGGUGGCAGCAGUGGGGAAUAUUGGACAAUGGGCGAAAGCCUGAUCCAGCCAUGCCGCGUGUGUGAAGAAGGCCUUCGGGUUGUAAAGCACUUUCAGUGGGGAAGAAAGCCUUGGGGCCAAUACCCUCGAGGAAGGACAUCACCCACAGAAGAAGCACCGGCUAACUCCGUGCCAGCAGCCGCGGUAAUACGGAGGGUGCGAGCGUUAAUCGGAAUUACUGGGCGUAAAGCGCGCGUAGGCGGUCUGAUAAGCCGGUUGUGAAAGCCCCGGGCUCAACCUGGGAACGGCAUCCGGAACUGUCAGGCUAGAGUGCAGGAGAGGAAGGUAGAAUUCCCGGUGUAGCGGUGAAAUGCGUAGAGAUCGGGAGGAAUACCAGUGGCGAAGGCGGCCUUCUGGACUGACACUGACGCUGAGGUGCGAAAGCGUGGGUAGCAAACAGGAUUAGAUACCCCAGUAGUC